AGAGUUUGAUUCUGGCUCAGAACGAACGCUGGCAGCGUGGAUUAGGCAUGCAAGUCGAACGAAAGCCCUGAGUGUAGCAAUACAAGCGGGGUAAAAGUGGCGGAAGGGCGAGGAACGCGUGGGCAAUCUGCCUUCGAGUUGGGGAUAACUUCGCGAAAGCGAAGCUAAUACCGUUAUACGAUGGUUCAUCGCAUGGUGAAUUAAUCAAAGAUGGGGAACCGAAAGGUCCUGUCGCUUGAAGAGGAGCCCGCGUCCUAUCAGCUUGUUGGUGAGGUAACGGCUCACCAAGGCUUACGGGUAGCUGGUCUGAGAGGAUGGUCAGCCGCACUGGGACUGAGACUCUGCCCAGACUCCUACGGGAGGCUGCAGUCGAGGAUCAUUCGCAAUGGGCGCAAGCCUGACGAUGCGACGCUGCGUGGAGGAUGAAGGCCUUCGGGUCGUAAACUCCUGUCAUUCGGGAACAAUAUACUAGCCAUUAAUAAUGGCUGGGAUUGAUAGUACCGGAAGAGGAAGCCACGGCUAACUCUGUGCCAGCAGCCGCGGUAAUACAGAGGUGGCGAGCGUUGUUCGGAUUUACUGGGCGUAAAGGGUGCGUAGGUGGCUUUGUGUGUCGGGCGUGAAAGCCCACCGCUCAACGGUGGAACGGCGUCCGAAACUACAAAGCUUGAGUGCAGGAGAGGAGAGCGGAAUACUUGGUGUAGCGGUGGAAUGCGUAGAGAUCAAGUAGAACACCGGUGGCGUAGGCGGCUCUCUGGAAUGCAACUGACACUGAGGCACGAAAGUUGGGGGAGCAAACAGGAUUAGAUACCCUGGUAGUCCCAACCAUAAACGGUGUACACUUGGUGUAGGAGGAAUUGACCCCUUCUGUGCCGGAGCUAACGCGUUAAGUGUACCGCCUGGGGAGUACGGUCGCAAGAUUAAAACUCAAAGAAAUUGACGGGGGCCCGCACAAGCGGAGGAGCAUGUGGCUUAAUUCGAUGCAACGCGAAGAACCUUACCAGGGCUUGACAUGUAACUUCACGUCCCAUGAAAGUGGGAUUCCUUCGAGGGUGUUACACAGGUGCUGCAUGGCUGUCGUCAGUUCGUGCCGUGAGGUGUUGGGUUAAGUCCCGCAACGAACGCAACCCCUAUAUUUAGUUGCUAGCGCCGGUAACGGUGCGCACUCUAAAUAGACUGCCCGUGAUAAGCGGGAGGAAGGUGGGGAUGACGUCAAGUCAGUAUGGCCUUUAUGCCCUGGGCUGCACACGUGCUACAAUGGUCGGUACAGAGGGAAGCAAGACCGCGAGGUGGAGCAAAUCCCAUAAAACCGUCCCCAGUUCAGAUUGAAGGCUGCAACUCGCCUUCAUGAAGUUGGAUUCGCUAGUAACGGCGUAUCAGCUACGGCGCCGUGAAUACGUUCCCGGGCCUUGUACACACCGCCCGUC
rnacentral:rRNA from 1 species